AUUACUCCUACACUUACCUAUCAAAUGACGAAUUUUUCCUUUUUUUUUUUUGAUGAACAAAAAAUGAGGUGGAACAAAUAAAUGUCUCAUGGUGAAAGAUGAGUAUUUGAAGGAAAGCAGAUAUAUUUUAUAAUAGCAAAUCAUUAUAAUUAACUUUUCUUUUUACUCCUGUUCCUAGUUCUUGUAACAUUUUAUAAUUCUAACAUUAAUACAUUUAGUAUACACUGACUUUGUCUUAUACAGAAAAUGUUAUUGGUUACUCUAUAUUCCAUAAAGUCAAUGUUUACAUUCUGAUAUCUUCCUUGAACACAUUUAUGAAUAGCUCUAUCACUAAUAAGCCAUACUCUUCAAUUACCCCUAUAUGUAAUUGUGUUCUAUGCUAUAACUUUUUCUUGAUUAACUUUAUAGAAACUACAUCUUCAAUGAGAUAACUUAAUAUAAUUAUUUUUAUUAAAAUUGGAGUAUGGAUUUAAAAAAAAUUGUGCUUAAAAUUUGUAUAUAUAGUUAACGUGGUAAAACUAUUACUUAUUGAGGCAUAGAACUUCACCUUUUUGCAUUUCAGUUCGCUUUCUGCAGAAACUGAAAAUCUUUUUUUAUUUUUGCUACCGGGCUUCAGAGCCAGUGGGGAGAAAUCACAAGUGGUUUUCUCUUGGCCUUUCAGCCUUCUAGGGGACCUUGCCUCCGCUACAGAAAACUGCAAUGGCCAGAUACUGGAGGUUAAGAGAUUCUAGAACACGAAACAUUUAUAGAAGAUUCAAGCCUCGAGAUGGUUGUAGCCCUGGGAACUCCUGGAGGGAGACAAUUCCACAUGCAUUUAUCAGAUCCUCAGGUGACAUGCAAGGGCCCAAGAUAAAGUCACACACAGGUGUCAUUAUCAAGGAUAUAGUAUGGGAUUGGAAGACUGAAUGAAUCAAGCCUUGAUGGUAUUUCUUACUUUUGGAGGACAGUACAGCAAGGGCCACCAGCAUGCCAGACAGAAAUGCUCUGCAAUCCAGGAUGGUUGUGUUUGGGGAUGAUGGCUACGUCAACACUUUCAGAUGCUGUGUACUAAUAUACUACCAUGCCUGGAAUAAUUUAUCUGGAAAUGUCUACCCUGAGUGCCUAGAGAUAAGUAAUGAAAAUACAAGCAAUACCUUUGAGUCCAUGCAUCUUAAUGAUUCUUAAAGCAAUAGAGGUCUCAACUGUCAAUUUAAAAGUUAAGCCAUUUUGAAUGGAGCCACUCUGCAAGCACAAAAAAGGAGCCAGGUUGCCACUAGGGAACUGACUAUGAGAGAGCAUAAUUUUAUUCUCUGUGCAGGGCUAAGGGCAGACAGUGACUGUCAUUGAACCACAGUAGUAAUGACAAAUAACUCCCUAGGAAAUCUCUAGAGACAAGAUUGUCUGAAUACGAGUACAGUUACUAUUGCAGCUCUGGAUGAUGGAAUUCUAAUUGGCUUGUAAAGCAGAAGUCCUGCCAGGGAAUACCCAUCAACCACACAUCUUGUGUUAGAGAAAGUACAACGUCCAUAAUGAGCUGUAAAGCUCUAGCUGAACUAUUUUCUUUGAGUCUAGGUUGGAAGAAAGCAUUUUGUAAUUCGUUAAGGGUAUAUGAACUUGAGUGUAGAUCAGUGCUUCAGUAAACUGAGAUAUUUGCACUGAUAAUUAUGAUGACCCUCUAUGACUGAGUAACAGGUCUCUGUGUUGCUAUGGCUAAUGAGAGGCAGAAUAUUCUAGUGGAUAUUGUGCUGAAAUCCCACCCCUAAUACAUACUAGAUUCAUGGCCUUUACCUCUCUAAUAUUCAUUUUCCUCAUCUAUGAAAUGAUAAGCCUGGACUUGAUAACCUCUAAGAUAUCACCCAACUCUAAAUCGAUGAUACUAUGAUGAUACUAUUGCACAAACUCAUAGUCCCCCCUCUAAGAGUAGACCACU
rnacentral:lncRNA from 1 species